CCUACGGGUGGCAGCAGUGAGGAAUAUUGGUCAAUGGGCGCGAGCCUGAACCAGCCAAGUAGCGUGAAGGAUGACUGCCCUACGGGUUGUAAACUUCUUUUAUAAAGGAAUAAAGUGAGGCACGUGUGCCUUUUUGUAAGUACUUUAUGAAUAAGGAUCGGCUAACUCCGUGCCAGCAGCCGCGGUAAUACGGAGGAUCCGAGCGUUAUCCGGAUUUCUUGGGUUUAACAGGAGCGUAGAUGGGUUGUUAAGUCAGUUGUGAAAGUUUGCGGCUCAACCGUAAAAUUGCAAUUGAUACUGGCAGCCUUGAGUACAGUUGGGGUAGGCGGAAUUCGUGGUGUAGCGGUGGAAUGCGGAGAUAUCACGAAGAACUCCGAUUGCGAAGGCAGCUUACUAAGCUGCCACUGACAUUGAGGCUCGAAAGUGUGGGUAUCAAACAGGAUUAGAUACCCGAGUAGUC
rnacentral:rRNA from 1 species